rnacentral:RNase_P_RNA from 2 species
CCAGAGGGUCGGGCGGCCGCGUCGCAUUUCGGUGCGCCGAGGAAAGUCCGGGCUCCACGGAACGACGGUGCCGGGUAACGCCCGGCGGUCCUGCGCAAGCGGGGCCAGGGACAGUGCCACAGAAAGCAGACCGCCCAAUCUCUCGGGAUGAAGCCUUCGGGCGGGCAAGGGCGAAAGGGUGGGGCAAGAGCCCACCGCGGCUCCGGCAACGGAGACGGCACGGCAAACCCCACCGGGAGCAAGACCGAAUAGGGGCGGCAGAUGGGCCUGUUCCGGCUCGUCGCCCGGGUUGGUUGCUGGAGGCUGUCGGCAACGGCAGCCCGAGAGGAAUGGCCGCACAUCCCGGAUCAGGUCCGGGAGGACAGAACCCGGCUUACAGACCCUCUGGCACU